GUUGAACCAAGAAUGGGAGUUGAGGUCAAUGGCCUAGAGAGGCAGCCGCCUCAGGUGAGCAGCUGAGAAGCUCUGGGUUUGUGUUCUGGGAGUGGACAGCAGCCUUGGUUUCUGGGCCACUGCCAUGCCUGGGUUGUUCAUCACCUCUGCAGACUCUAUUUGACGAGGAGGCCUGAACUGCAGUUAAUCUCAGUCAGCUUCAGGGGGCUUCUGCACUGUGCCAGCCGCGUCUUCGUCACCUCCCUGUGCAGGAGGAGGGAGGCCCUGUCCAGCCUGUCCCCUUCUUGACCUCUUCUCGCCUUAUUAGUGUACAAAAUGUUUUGCUAAAAUGUCUGUGCAUAUCAUUUCCAAAACUUUUCCAAAAUAGCAUGAGACACUGACUUCCCACCAGGACCCCCUGGGGCACAGCUCGUCCAACCUCCCAGAGCCCUCUUGAGGCGUCUCCCUGCCCUGGAGAGCCCUGGUGGCAGGAGGAUCACGGUGCAGAUUCAGUCGGAGAUGGUGCCUCCGACAGGCCUGACCAGGCGGGUCUGCACAGAAGGGCUCAGAAACGACACCCGGACAGACGGCGCGGCCCUGUGUCCGUGGACCCCGCAGGUGACAGAGCAAAGCUGCAGCAUGGGCAGUGCAGAGGGAGGUUCUGGUGCCAGGAUCCGAGCCAGCACCAGGCUUGCUCCUGCAGGUGGGCAGCGGCCUGGGACAAGUGACCCUGUGGCCUGGGCCUCUGCCCUGAGGAGUACGCUGGCCCAGGUGCGUGGAAGUGACUGUGAGGGCCUGUGGGGUGAGGCCACUGCUGCACCCACAUCAGGAGGUGCUGAGUGCCAGGGACCAGCCACAGCCCAGCACCACCCCACAG
rnacentral:lncRNA from 1 species